ncrna:unclassified sequences skipping-rope RNA
UGAAAUCAGAGGACGGAACGGGCAACCGUCACCCUAGUUGGAGAUGUGGAAAUGUCACCCCACCUAUUUCA